rnacentral:rRNA from 1 species
AACGUAGGACGCAAGCGUUAUCCGGAGUUACUGGGCGUAAAGCGCGGGCAGGCGGUCUUGCCAGUCUGAUGUGAAAUCUCUCAGCUCAACUGGGAGCAGCCAUUGGAAACUACAAGACUGGAGUCUGGCAGAGGUAGGCGAAUUCCGGGUGGAGUGGGUGAAAUGCGUAGAGAUCCGGAGGAACACCAGAGGCGAAGGCGGCCUACUGGGCCAGUACUGACGCUGAGCCGCGAAAGCCAGGGGAG